AUCGCAGCGUCGGAUGUUCAGAGCAGCAGAAGCCGGCGUCGUCGGAUGUUGUGUUGCCCGCCACCAUGAGCUACACAGGCUUUGUCCAGGGAUCUGAAACCACUUUGCAGUCGACAUACUCGGAUACCAGCGCUCAGCCCACCUGUGAUUAUGGAUAUGGAACUUGGAACUCUGGGACAAAUAGAGGCUACGAGGGCUAUGGCUAUGGCUAUGGCUAUGGCCAGGAUAACACCACCAACUAUGGAAUUAACCAGCGCUUAGAUAUGGUGCCGCAUUUGGAGACAGACAUGAUGCAAGGAGGCGUGUACGGCUCAGGUGGAGAAAGGUAUGACUCUUAUGAGUCCUGCGACUCGAGGGCCGUCCUGAGUGAGCGCGACCUGUACCGGUCAGGCUAUGACUACAGCGAGCUUGACCCUGAGAUGGAAAUGGCCUAUGAGGGCCAAUACGAUGCCUACCGCGACCAGUUCCGCAUGCGUGGCAACGACACCUUCGGUCCCAGGGCACAGGGCUGGGCCCGGGAUGCCCGGAGCGGCCGGCCAAUGGCCUCAGGCUAUGGGCGCAUGUGGGAAGACCCCAUGGGGGCCCGGGGCCAGUGCAUGUCUGGUGCCUCUCGGCUGCCCUCCCUCUUCUCCCAGAACAUCAUCCCCGAGUACGGCAUGUUCCAGGGCAUGCGAGGUGGGGGCGCCUUCCCGGGCGGCUCCCGCUUUGGUUUCGGGUUUGGCAAUGGCAUGAAGCAGAUGAGGCGGACCUGGAAGACCUGGACCACAGCCGACUUCCGAACCAAGAAGAAGAAGAGAAAGCAGGGCGGCAGUCCUGAUGAGCCAGAUAGCAAAGCCACCCGCACGGACUGCUCGGACAACAGCGACUCAGACAAUGAUGAGGGCACCGAGGGGGAAGCCACAGAGGGCCUUGAAGGCACCGAGGCUGUGGAGAAGGGCUCCAGAGUGGACGGAGAGGAUGAGGAGGGAAAAGAGGAUGGGAGAGAAGAAGGCAAAGAGGAUCCAGAGAAGGGGGCCCUAACCACCCAGGAUGAAAAUGGCCAGACCAAGCGCAAGUUGCAGGCAGGCAAGAAGAGUCAGGACAAGCAGAAAAAGCGGCAGCGAGACCGCAUGGUGGAAAGGGCUCCCGCACUGGCGCUUGCCUCCUCCGCCUCAGACUCUUGCUCUUGCUGGACCUUCCUCAGCCUCGCCGGCGCCCGGCCCCUGGGCUCUCCAGACAAAGCUGACCCCGUGGCCCAGAUAAGGACGUCCGGCAGAGGAUCCAGUUUGUGUGUUCUCUGUGCAAAUACCGGACCUUCUAUGAGGACGAGAUGGCCAGCCAUCUUGACAGCAAGUUCCACAAGGAACACUUUAAGUACGUAGGCACCAAGCUCCCUAAGCAGACGGCUGACUUUCUGCAGGAGUACGUCACUAACAAGACCAAGAAGACAGAGGAGCUCCGAAAAACCGUGGAGGACCUUGAUGGCCUCAUCCAGCAAAUCUACAGAGACCAGGAUCUGACCCAGGAAAUUGCCAUGGAGCAUUUUGUGAAGAAGGUGGAGGCAGCCCAUUGUGCAGCCUGCGACCUCUUCAUUCCCAUGCAGUUUGGGAUCAUCCAGAAGCAUCUGAAGACCAUGGAUCACAACCGGAACCGCAGGCUCAUGAUGGAGCAGUCCAAGAAGUCCUCCCUCAUGGUGGCCCGCAGUAUUCUCAACAACAAGCUCAUCAGCAAGAAGCUGGAGCGCUACCUGAAGGGCGAGAACCCUUUCACCGACAGCCCCGAGGAGGAGAAGGAGCAGGAGGAGGCUGAGGGCGGUGCCCUGGACGAGGGGGCGCAGGGCGAAGCGGCAGGGAUCUCGGAGGGCGCAGAGGGCGUGCCGGCGCAGCCUCCCGUGCCCCCAGAGCCAGCCCCCGGGGCCGUGUCGCCGCCACCGCCGCCGCCCCCAGAGGAGGAGGAGGAGGGCGCCGUGCCCUUGCUGGGAGGGGCGCUGCAACGCCAGAUCCGCGGCAUCCCGGGCCUCGACGUGGAGGACGACGAGGAGGGCGGCGGGGGCGCCCCGUGACCCGAGCUCGGGGCGGGCGGAGCCCGCGUGGCCGAAGCUGGAAACCAAACCUAAUAAAGUUUUCCCAUCCCA